rnacentral:rRNA from 1 species
GAUGAACGCUGGCGGCGUGCUUAACACAUGCAAGUCGAGCGAAGCACUUAUGAAAGAUUCUUCGGAUGAUUUCAUUUGUGACUGAGCGGCGGACGGGUGAGUAACGCGUGGGUAACCUGCCUCAUACAGGGGGAUAACAGUUGGAAACGACUGCUAAUACCGCAUAAGCGCACAGUACCGCAUGGUACCGUGUGAAAAACUCCGGUGGUAUGAGAUGGACCCGCGUCUGAUUAGCUAGUUGGUGGGGUAACGGCCUACCAAGGCGACGAUCAGUAGCCGACCUGAGAGGGUGAUCGGCCACAUUGGGACUGAGACACGGCCCAAACUCCUACGGGAGGCAGCAGUGGGGAAUAUUGCACAAUGGGGGAAACCCUGAUGCAGCAACGCCGCGUGAGUGAAGAAGUAUUUCGGUAUGUAAAGCUCUAUCAGCAGGGAAGAAAAUGACGGUACCUGACUAAGAAGCCCCGGCUAACUACGUGCCAGCCGCCGCCGUAA